rnacentral:rRNA from 1 species
GCCUGUGAAUAAUGGGUGGGAAUGAGAGUACCUGAAGAAUAAGCACCGGCUAACUACGUGCCAGCAGCCGCGGUAAUACGUAGGGUGCAAGCGUUAAUCGGAAUUACUGGGCGUAAAGCGUGCGCAGGCGGUUUUGCAAGUCUGAUGUGAAAGCCCCGGGCUUAACCUGGGAACGGCAUUGGAGACUGCAAGGCUAGAGUACGUCAGAGGGGGGUAGAAUUCCACGUGUAGCAGUGAAAUGCGUAGAGAUGUGGAGGAAUACCGAUGGCGAAGGCAGCCCCCUGGGAUGAUACUGACGCUCAUGCACGAAAGCGUGGGGAGCAAACAGGAUUAGAUACCCUGGUAGUCCACGCCCUAAACGAUGUCAAUUAGCUGUUGGGGGGUUUGAAUCCUUGGUAGCGAAGCUAACGCGUGAAAUUGACCGCCUGGGGGAGUACGGCCGCAAGGUUA